ACCUUACACACAUUGUCUAGUUUUUUUGAACUUUGCUUUGGGUGCAUCAGCCUAGCUGCGUGCCCAAAGGUCUAAACACAUUUUUUUAAUGUUAAAACCUUUAACCAAUAGUCAUGAAAAUUUUUAACAAAAAUUAAAAUCUUCAAAACUUUCAACAACGGAUCUCUUGGUUCUCGCAACGAUGAAGAACGCAGCGAAAUGCGAUACGUAUUGUGAAUUGCAGAUUUUCGUGAAUCAUCGAAUCUUUGAACGCACAUUGCACCCUCUGGUAUUCCAGAGGGUAUGCCUGUUUGAGCGUCAUUUCUCUCUCAAACCUUCGGGUUUGGUAUUGAGUGAUACUCUGUCAAGGGUUAACUUGAAAUAUUGACUUAGCAAGAGUGUACUAAUAAGCAGUCUUUCUGAAAUAAUGUAUUAGGUUCUUCCAACUCGUUAUAUCAGCUAGGCAGGUUUAGAAGUAUUUUAGGCUCGGCUUAACAACAAUAAACUAAAAGUUUGACCUCAAAUCAGGUAGGACUACCCGCUGAACUUAAGCAUAUCAAUA
rnacentral:rRNA from 1 species